rnacentral:lncRNA from 1 species
GUCAACUCUGUAAAGCCACUAGGUUCAUAAAUUUCGAGAGCAGAAGAUGGAUCUCUUUUAGACUUCCCGGAAAUUGAAGCGCCACUAGGUUCAUAAAUUUUGAGAGCAGAAGAUGGAUCUCUUUGAGACUUCUUGGAAAUUGAAGAGCCACUAGGUUCAUUAAUUUCGAGAGCAGAAGAUGGAUCUCUUUGAGACUUCCCGGAAAUUGAAGAGCCACUAGGUUCAUCCAUUUUGAGACCAAAAGAUGGAUCUCUUUGAGACUUCUCGGAAAAUGAAGAGCCACUAGGUUCAUAAAUUUCGAGAGCAGAAGACGGAUCUCUUUGAGACUUCGCGGAAAUUGAAGAGCCACUAGGUUCAUCAAUUUCGAGAGCAGAAGAUGGAUCUCUCUGAGACUUCCCAGAAAUUGAAGAGCCACUAGGUUCAUCAAUUUCAAGAGCAGAAGAUGAAUCUCUUUGAAACUUCCUGGAAAUUGAAGAGCCACUAGGUUCAUAAAUUUCGAGAGCAGAAGAUGAAUCUCUUUGAGACUUCCCGGAAAUUGAAGAGCCACUAGGUUCAUAAAUUUCGAAAGCAGAAUAUGGAUCUCUUGUAACCACUUUCGCCACACUGAACAAAACGCAAGUAGUUCAAAGAUCAGUUCUUAAAAUAAAUAAAGCCUAUU